rnacentral:lncRNA from 10 species
GCUGAGGCAGGAGGAACAUGAGGUCAGGAGAUCGAGACCAUCCUGGCUAACACAGUGAAACCCUGUCUCUACUAAAAAUACAAAAAAUUAGCCGGGCGUGGUGGUGAGCGCCUGUAGUCCCAGCUACUCGGGAGGCUGAGGCAGGAGAACGGUGUGAACCCGGGAGGCGGAGCUUGCAGUGAGCCGAGAUUGUGCCACUGCACUCCAGCCUGGGCAACAGAGCGAGACUCUGUCUCAAAAAAAAAAAAAAAAAUUAAAAAGUGAACAAAAGGGUAAAAGAGUUUUGCAUUUACAUGCAUUUAGGAAAUUCUGGACUUCAUGGAGCUAAAUAUCAUCUCCUUGCUACAGGACUUCUCAGAGCCUUAACAUGCACAAAUGCAUUGUGAAUCUGCAUGGGGAGUUCCACCAAUGCUGUAUGUCUCCGUGAGCUACCUCACCCCACCCCACCCCACCCCACUGCCCUAUUCUGUUAUCUGCGGAGAGUUCUGUGUAACACAUUUCAACAUGCUUGGAGCAUGUGCAUCUAUUGACACUUCUCUAAAUCAAAGGUUUCUUAUCAUCAUCAGUGCACAAAAGAAGGAUUUUGAAAAUUCUUAGCCUUGAGGAGAGAUGGUUCCUGAUCCCAGGGAUAAGAUUUGGUGUAGCCAUGCCCUGUGAGCCCUGCCUGACGUGCCAUCAGAUACGUGGAGAAAAACGAAGGAACUAAGGACAGUGAGACAAGGAGGAGCUGCUGCUUCAGGCUUAUCUGACACUGGUCAAGGACACCGAGAAAGUCUCUUUCUCAGACUAAACUAUAAGGAAUUCUCUAAGGAAUGAGGGGGUUGGUACCACCUGCACCACUGAAGUUCCUAAGGAAGCCAUGAUGGAGAGUAAAUCCCCAGUCUCACCAGAGAGUAAGGGGAAGGGGAAGUCCUUUCGGUUUGGAAAGAAGGGAUAGUAAUCAGUCAAGUGUGAGGAUCCUGACUCUUUUUAUUGAGCUCCUUGAAACCCUCCCCAGAAGCA